AAGCCUGAUCCAGCCAUGCCGCGUGGGUGAAGAAGGCCUUCGGGUUGUAAAGCCCUUUUGUUGGGAAAGAAAAGCAGCCGGCCAAUACCCGGUUGUUCUGACGGUACCCAAAGAAUAAGCACCGGCUAACUCCGUGCCAGCAGCCGCGGUAAUACGGAGGGUGCAAGCGUUACUCGGAAUCACUGGGCGUAAAGAGCACGUAGGCGGCCUUGCAAGUCAGAUGUGAAAUCCAACGGCUUAACCGUUGAACUGCAUUUGAAACUGCAAGGCUAGAGUAUGGGAGAGGUAGGUGGAAUUCUCGGUGUAGGGGUAAAAUCCGUAGAGAUCGAGAGGAAUACUCAUUGCGAAGGCGACCUGCUGGAACAUUACUGACGCUGAGGUGCGAAAGCGUGGGGAGCAAACA
rnacentral:rRNA from 1 species